AGUCUGGCCUGCCCAAUGAUUUUUGAAUGGCCGCAGUAUUUUGACUGUGCAAAGGUAGCAUAAUCAUUAGUUUUUUAAUUGAAAGCUGGAAUGAAAGGUUUGAUGAGAAAAUAACUGUCUCUAUAUAAAUGAUUUAGAACUUCAAUUUUAAGUGAAAAAGCUUAAAUUUUUUAUAAAGACGAGAAGACCCUAUAGAGUUUUAUAUUUGUUUUAAUUUAAGGAUUAUGGUAAUAAUUUUUUUAUUUUGAUUUAAGUAUUUUGUUGGGGCGAUGGAAAAAUUUAAUUAACUUUUUUUUGUAUUUAACAUUGAUUUAUGAUUAUUUGAUCCUUUAUUUUGGAUUAUAAGAUUAAAUUACCUUAGGGAUAACAGCGUAAUUUUUUUUGGAGAGUUCUUAUCGAUAAAAGAGUUUGCGACCUCGAUGUUGGAUUAAAAUUUAUUUUUGGUGUAGAAGCUGAAAUAUUGGGUCUGUUCGACCUUUAAAAUUUU
rnacentral:rRNA from 1 species